UAUAAAUAAAGAUCGAUGCGAAUCGCUCGGAUGAAAGCAUCGUGUACAACGCGUAUGUGAAAAGCGUUUGAAAAGAGUUUGAAAAGUAUUGAAGGAAAAAAGUGACAAAAGAAAGUAGACAAAGAAGAGAAAACGAGAGUUCGAGAUCGGAAGAAAAAAGUAGAAAAGUGCGAAGUGAACAAAAAGUGAGGUUAGAAAGAGUGCAAGCAGACAAGGAAAAAAAAAGGAAGCAGGGAAAACAUAUUUCAUCGUCAAAAUGAUGUCGAGAACCACGCCAUUUCCACGUGGAGAAAGCUGAUGCCUUCGCUUACGGAGAGACAGCAAGGGAGAAGAGAUGAUCCUAAUUCUCAACGACGGCGUUUCAUUUACGAGAGAGAGCGCUAAUUGCCCUUUCGAUCAAAUUAAUUGCAAGAGAAAUAGAAUUUAAUUUUUCUAGUAGCAUCCCAAAUUCGAUAUUCAUUCGCGGAAUAUCGGAGAGGCGAAGGAAAACGUAUUUAAUUACUUCGAGUUGAAAAUGAAAUAUUAAUCUUCGAAUUAACGGGGGAAGGGGAUUAAUCGCGUGCGAAAAAUGACUGACAACCACGAUUUAAACGAUACGAAAAAUAUAAACGAGGAGCAAGUCACGGAGACGAACGAUACGAAAAA